UAGAGUAACGCGUGAGGAACCUGCCUCAUACAGGGGGAUAACAGCUAGAAAUGGCUGCUAAUACCGCAUAAGCGCACAGUAUCGCAUGAUACGGUGUGAAAAGCCGAGACGGUAUGAGAUGGACCCGCGUCUGAUUAGCUAGUUGGUGGGGUAACGGCCCACCAAGGCGACGAUCAGUAGCCGACCUGAGAGGGUGACCGGCCACAUUGGGACUGAGACACGGCCCAAACUCCUACGGGAGGCAGCAUG
rnacentral:rRNA from 1 species